AGAUUUUAGUAUAAUUCUUUAAUUUUAAGAUACAUUUGCCCCAUAAUGUUUUUCGGAUUAAGAUGUCAAAAGAAACUUGCCAGGGCUUUCUCUUGUUUUUAUAGGUGUGAUGCCUUCUAAAAUUAGUGGUGUUUUGGAAUCAAAGAAACAUAAAUUUAUGGACCUGGACUUAUAGAAAUCUUCUAACUUGAACUGUGUAAGUCAAAGUUGUUCAAUAAUAACUUUUGGUAUCCUUUUUCUGAUGGCUUUUGAUAUGGAUUUUGUGUCUCUUGGCAAUCUUCUGGCUUUGAUUUCUUGGGUGGUCCGGGGAAUACUAAACUAAUGACAUGGGUAGAUGGAUAGGUCAUUCUCACUGACAUGAGUGGUGACUUCACCUGAAGACACAUGAUAUCUUUUGUCCCUAGCUGUCCUAAAUUUUUUUUCUAAAUAAAGAGUAAAGCCUUCUUUUGGUGCCUGUGAGCCCUGGAAAUUGAUGUUGAUGUAAUUCUUCCCAGGUGAGGCAGGGCCAGGCCCUCCGGGAGGCAGCAGAGGAAGGAAGUUGCCUAGAACAUCUAAAUGCUAGAAGCACAGCCUGGAGAAGGGGUCCUUGACUAGAAUGGUGAAAUAUGCUUAAUACUGAACCAAGAAAAAGGGAAAGCGGCUGUGAGAAAAAAAGGGGAGUAGAAUAUGACAAGUUGCAGCCCUUGGGAAUUAAGUGUAUGUUUGUAUAUGAAAAUUGGAGAUGACAUGGAAGCAUGCAGCUAAUGUUCUCAAUUACACCGAACAUUUCUACACUGAUAUAAGAAAAACAGUACAGAAAAAGAUUUGGGGGAAAGAUUAGAUUCACCGUGUAAGAACAGAAUUCAUGGCUUAAUGUUGCUGGCUAGGACAUUAAUUUGAAAAUAUCUGUACUCAAAAGAAUUUUUGUAUUGGCUUUAUCUAUAAGCCCAAGCAGAGGUGAAAAUGAAUAUAAAUUAGAGACAAAGGGAGUGAUAAAAACUACACUACUCAGAGGAAGAAAGGGCACAAUCCCAGGACAAAUAUUCUCACAGCAAUUUACAGAAACUCUAAUUUGGAGGCCCAAAGUAAGGAUAGUUAUUCUGUGCAGUUACAUUGCUGCAUGUAUAAAAGGAUUCCUUAGGCAGUCCCUGUAGUGCCCUUCUAUUAUUACAUAAAACAUAAACAGAAUACUCACUCCAUCUUUUGGGGUGGGUGAACUCCUAGCACCAAUGAUUGUACCACAUGAUCAGGCUCUAUGGCCAUAGCUGUCUGGACCAGGGGUGUACAAGUUUUCAAGUGGACCAAUCUUAUGCUGAGAAGGAGAAGCUAGUUUAGCCCUGACUAUUUUCUUGAAUGAUAGGACAUGGACCUGGAAGCUAGAUUGUACCUAUCUUAGCCUCUGAGGCAGAGAAAGAAGAAUGAAACCAACUCCCCCAAAGGAGUGGAGGCAAAGGACCUGGAGAGAUGGAGACAACAAGGGUACAAAAGUCCUGGUAGUUUUGGUUUUUGUUCUUUUGUUUUGUUUUGUUUUGUUUUGUUUUGUUUUUUUUGCUUUUUAGAGCUUGACCAUGGCAUAUGGAGGUUCCCAGGCUAGGAGCUGAAUCGGAGCUGUAGCUGUCAGCCUACACCACAGCCACAGGAACACCAGAUCCAAGCCGCAUCUGCAACCUACACCACAGCUCACAGCAAUGCCGGAUCCUUAACCCACUGAGCGAGGCCAAGGAUUGAACCCGCAACCUCAUGGUUCCUGGUCGGAUUCGUUUCCACCGCACCAUGACGGGUAAAUCUUGGCUCCAGUUCUUCCUACAUGGCCUACCUCUGGACCCUGUCAAAUGGCCUUCUGGUACAAUGAAUGUAGUUCCCUCCAUUUACUUCUGCUAGCUUAAACUUUAUAACUUGACAUUUAGAGUCUUAACCAAGAUAGGCCCAUAGAUUUAAUAUAACUUAAUAUACUUCAUAUUCCUCUUAUCUAACUGUGAACCUCAUGGUUCCCUGUAUCCCCUCCAGUACAAAGCAGGCCAGAGCAAUGAAGGAACAGGAGACAUAAUGUUGAUAUAAAGGUGGGUCUGGUUGUAGAGAAAAAAACCAACUUUUAACAUAAGAGAAAACAAAUACAACCUCUUUAAUCCCUGCUAGCUCUAUUAGUCCAGGCUUAGAGCACAUGGCAAGUACUUCUAAAUACUGCACAUGGCAAGUAAACUGAAUUUAAGUAUACGGACUAGGGAGUUCCUGUGUGGCUCAGCAGGUUAAGAAGCCAACAUAGUAUCCAUGAGGAUGCAGGUUCAAUCCCUGGCCUCACUCAGUGGAUUAAGGAUCCAAUGUGGCUGUGGCUGUGACAUAGGCUUGCAGCUGCAGCUCCAAUUCAGCCUUUAACCUGGGAACUUCCAUAUACUGCCGGUGUGGACUGAAAGAAGAAAGAAGAAAUAGAAAAGAAAAGUAUAUUGACUAGAGUUAAUGUCUCAAACUAAUGUUUAGCACUAAGCAUCAUACUUCAUGGGGUAACAGUAGAGGCACUCCUACAGUGAAUGAGGAAUGAGAAAAGAAUAGAUGUUAUUCCUGUUUUUAUUUAAUGUUCUUCCAGAAAUUCUAGCCAGUACACUAAGCAAGAAAAAGAUAUGAAAUAAAAUGCUAUAUAAAGUUCUGGGAAGACAGAAUAGAUGUACUUUUCCUUAUUCCUCCAGCAAAGUACAACUAAAAACCCCUGACAUUUUAUGUACAUAAUGAACAUAAGACUCUGAAAAAUGGAGGAAAAAAAGGCAAACUAGCUAGAGAGGUUGGGGACCACUAUCAAGGGAACAAUAUGGUAGUGAGUUCCCCAGAUUUUCUUUUUGCCUGAAAUAGUCCAUACUUGUAGCUAAUGAGGCUAUAACCUAGAAACAUGAAAUAGCACAGAACCAAAAAAAAAAAAAAAAAAAAAAAACCCACAAGCAACAAACAAAACAAAAACUCUGCUCUUUCUAACCAAAGGACCAGGAAAGAGACUAGUAAGACAGAAAACUUUUAGACAAUAACUACUCUACUCCAGCCAAGUACUACAGAAAAACUGUAGCCCCAGUUUGCAAAGGGCAAGUAGGAAGCCUGGAUUUCCACCCUUACCAGGCUGUAAUGAGGUACACCAAACCCCCUGAGAAGGUGGUGUCAUAGAAGGCUGGGUAUGGAGCUGGGAGUUCCGUCUCCAACCUGUAGUAACAAGGUGCCUCCUCACAACAUAAUACCUAAAAUGUCCAAGUUCCAAUCAAAAAUCAUUCAUCAUACCAAGAACCUGGAAAAUUGAAUUUAAAAAGACCAUCAAUAAAUGCCUACACCAAAAUAGCAGAGAUGGAGAGCUCCCAUUGUGGCACAGCAUAAACGAAUCUGACUAGCAUCCAUGAGGAGGCAGAUUCGAUCCCUGGCUUCACUCAGUGGGUUGGGGAUCCAGCAUUGCCGUGAGCUGUGGUGUAGGUCGCAGACAUGGCUCAGAUCCAGCGUUGCUAUGGCUGUGGCCAGCAGCGAUUUGACCCCUAGCCUGGGAACUUCCAUAUGCCACAGGUACAACCCUAAAAAUCAAAAAAAAAAAGCACACACAAAAAAAAAGAAAGCUCUUGUGUAUUUGGAAGGCGAGAUGUAUAGACACACAAAAUAAUGAAAAAUGUACCUAUUUUGCAUUAAGCAUAUAAUAUAAUCACUGUGUGCUUUCUCUAAACAGAUCUAAAGGUGACCAUCACAAAGUUGUCUUUUAUGUAGUAAAUACUUAAUAUUUAUCCAACAACAAAUAAAUAAAAUUCUCAAGACAAAAAAAAAAAAAGCACAGAUGUUAGAAUUAUCUGAUAAAUAUUUCCAAGCAGCCAUUAUAAAAUGUUUAAACAAGCAAUUAUGAACAAGUCUGAAACAAGUGAAAAAUUAAAAAUCUCAGCAAAUAAUAAAAGAUAUAAAGAACAGGCAAAUGUAAAUUUCAGAACUAAAAAAUACAACAAAUGAGAAAAAUUUUUAACUCAUUGAAUAAGAUCAAGAUGGAGAGGGCAGAGAAAGAAUGACAGAGGAAAGAAUCAGUAAACUUGACAUUUGAACAAUAGAAAUUACCCGAUCUGAACGACAGAAAGAAAACAGACUUUUAUAAAAAUGAACAUAGCCUCAGGAGCCUGUGUAACCAAAGCAAAAGAUUCAACACUCAUGUCAUCAGAAUCCCAGGAAAGGGGAAAGAGGGUGAAUCCAAAAGCAGUCAAGGAUAUAUGUUUAAAACCUCCAAAUUUGGCAAAGGAGCCUAUCUACUGAAGAAGCUGAAAAAUUCCUAAAUAGGAUAAAUCCAAAUAAAUCUACACCAAGACAUUCAUUGUCAAAAAUUUUUUUCAUAGUCAAAUUUCUUAAAGCUAAAGGCAAGGAAUAUGUCUUCAAAGCAGUGAGAGAAAAACAAUGCCUUACUUAACAGGCAAAGAACAAUUUGAAUUCCUGCAGAUUUCUCAUCAGAAACUACAGAGGCCAGAAGGAAGUGGCACAAUUUUCAAACAGUAAAAGAAAAGGACUGUCAACCCAGAAUCCUAUAUCCAGUGAAAAUAUCCAUUAGGACUAAAGUAGAAAUCAGGAGAUCUUCAGAUGAAAGAGACCAAAAGAAUUUGUUGCCGUAAGACUACCUGAAAAGAAGGGCUAAAGGAAGUUCUUGAAACAGAAAUGAAACCAUAAAAGAAAAAUUCUGGAACACCAGAAAAGAAGAAAGAACAACAAAAAGAAUACAAAUAUAGUUAAAUAUAUUUUCCUUUAUCUCUUAGGUUUUCUAAAUUCUGUUCAACGGUUAAAGGAAUUACAAUACUGUCUAAUGUGGUUCUAAAUGUAUAUACAAGAAAUGCUUAAGACAAUUAUAAAUGGCAGGAGGUAAAGGGACCUAAAGGGAAGGAGAGAAAUAAAAAACAGAAAGUAAACAGAAAACAAAAAAUAAAAUAGCAGAAUAUGCACACUGAGGUAUAUGGAAUGAUUGGUGAACAGGGACCUGAUGUAUAGCACAGAGAACUCUACCCAAUAUUCUUGGAUAAUCUCUGUGGGAAAAGAAUCUGAAAGGAUGUGUAUACAUGAAUAACUGAAUCACUUUGUUGUACAGCAGAAAUUAUCACAAUAUUUGUAAGUCAACUAUACUUCAAUAAAACUUUAAAAAAUGAAAAUAAAAUAAAAUAAAGAAAUAAAAUAAAAUAGCAGACUUAAGCCCUAAUACAGUUGACUCUUGAACUACAUGGGUUUGAACUGUGCAGGGCUACUUACACAUGGAUUUUUUUUUUUUCAAUAGUAAAUACUACAGUACUAUACCAUUCAUGUUGGUUGAAUGUGCAGAUGCAGAACUCUAUAAACAGAAAACUGCAAAUACAGAGGGCCAACUUUAAGUUAUAUGUGGAUUUUCAACUGUGUGGAGGGUCGACACCCCAACCCUCAUGUUGUCCGAGGGUCAACUGUAUAUCAAUAAAUACAUUAUUAUUAUUUUUGUCUUUUUGCCAUUUCUUGGACUGCUCCCGCGGCAUAUGGAGGUUCCCAGGCUAGGGGUCAGAUCAGAGCUGUAGCUGCUGACCUCCACCAGAGUCACAGCAAGAUCUGAGCCACUUCUGUGACCUACACCACAGUUCAUGGCAACGCCAGAUCCUUAACCCACUGAGCAGGACAGGGAUUGAACCCGCAGCCUCAUGGUUCCUAGUUGGAUUCGUUAACCGCUGAGCCACAACAGGAACUCCUAUCAAUAAGUACAUUUAAUGUAAAUAGUCUAAAUAUACCAAUUAAAAGACAGACAUUGUUACAGUGGGUUGAAAAAGAUGACCCAUCUAAUCACUAUAUUAUACACCUGUUACAUAAUGUACAUUAACUAUACUCAAAUAAAUUUAUAAGAAAGAUGACCCAACUAUAUAUGCUGUUGGAAACUUACUUCAAACAUAACAAUUGUCUUAGUUCAUUUGGGCUAAUAUAACAAAAUACCAAAGAUGAGGUGGCCUAUAAACAACAAAUAUUUUUUUCUUGCAGUUCUGGAGGCUGGAAAGUCCAAGAUCAAGGCAUCAGAGAUUUGGUGUCUGGUGAGAGUCCACUUCCACGUUCAUAGACAGACAUUCACU
rnacentral:lncRNA from 1 species